AACCUGCGGAGGGAUCAUUACUGAGUGAGGGCUCACGCCCGACCUCCAACCCUUUGUGAACCAAACUUGUUGCUUCGGGGGCGACCCUGCCGACGAACUCGUCGCCGGGCGCCCCCGGAGGUCUUCUAAACACUGCAUCUUUGCGUCGGAGUUUAAACAAAUUAAACAAAACUUUCAACAACGGAUCUCUUGGUUCUGGCAUCGAUGAAGAACGCAGCGAAAUGCGAUAAGUAAUGUGAAUUGCAGAAUUCAGUGAAUCAUCGAAUCUUUGAACGCACAUUGCGCCCUUUGGUAUUCCGAAGGGCAUGCCUGUUCGAGCGUCAUUUCACCACUCAAGCCUAGCUUGGUAUUGGGCGUCGCGGUGUUUCCGCGCGCCUUAAAGUCUUCCGGCUGAGCUGUCCGUCUCUAAGCGUUGUGGAUUUUUCAAUUCGCUUCGGAGUGCGGAUGGCCGCGGCCGUUAAAUCUUUAUCAAAGGUGACCUCGAUCAGUAG
rnacentral:rRNA from 1 species